rnacentral:tRNA from 1 species
GCCGCCCGUGGCGAGGCCGCGGCGCAGGCGCUGUCGCGCACCGCCGAGGGCGUCGGCUCCGAUCUCGACGGGCGUCUC